ensembl:snoRNA small nucleolar RNA SNORA51
GGCCUCCUAGUGCUUACCACAGGCUAAUGUCCUUACACUGACUAUUAGAAAAAGGAGGCAGAGCAAACCCACCCCGUAUACACCUGAGCUCCGGCUUUUUGCCACAUCUGUGUUGUUAAAGGGAGGAUCUGU